GGAGCAACAGAACCGCGGCGAGGGGAGUGAAAAAGAACCUGAAACCGUGUACGUACAAGCAGUGGGAGCCCCACCACCAAAGCAUUAUCUGGUGUUGAAGGCCCUGCAAAGCAGCAUCGCGGUGGCGGAGCGUCGUUUGCGACGCCCAACACACAAAACAAGCGGUGAAUGCUUUGGGGUGGGGUGACUGCGUACCUUUUGUAUAAUGGGUCAGCGACUUAUAUUCUGUAGCAAGGUUAACCGAAUAGGGGAGCCGGAGG
rnacentral:rRNA from 1 species